rnacentral:rRNA from 1 species
UACGGGAGGCAGCAGUGAGGAAUAUUGGUCAAUGGGCGAGAGCCUGAACCAGCCAAGUAGCGUGCAGGAUGACGGCCCUAUGGGUUGUAAACUGCUUUUAUGCGGGGAUAAAGUGCGGCACGUGUGCCGUUUUGUAGGUACCGCAUGAAUAAGGACCGGCUAAUUCCGUGCCAGCAGCCGCGGUAAU